rnacentral:rRNA from 2 species
CCCUAGUAACGGCGAGUGAAGCGGCAACAGCUCAAAUUUGAAAUCUGGCUUCGGCCCGAGUUGUAAUUUGCAGAGGAUGUUUCUGGCGCGGUGCCUUCCGAGUUCCCUGGAACGGGACGCCACAGAGGGUGAGAGCCCCGUAUGGUUGGACACCAAGCCUGUGUGAAACUCCUUCGACGAGUCGAGUAGUUUGGGAAUGCUGCUCAAAAUGGGAGGUAAAUCUCUUCUAAAGCUAAAUACCGGCCAGAGACCGAUAGCGCACAAGUAGAGUGAUCGAAAGAUGAAAAGCACCUUGAAAAGGGGGUUAAACAGUACGUGAAAUUGUUGAAAGGGAAGCGCUUGUGACCAGACUUGCGCCGGGCGGUUCAUCCGGGGUUCUCCCCGGUGCACUCCGCCCGGCUCAGGCCAGCAUCGGUUUUCGUUGGGGGAUAAGAACGUCAGGAACGUGGCCCUCCUUCGGGUGGGUGUUAUAGCCUGGCGUACGAUACCCUGACGGGGACCGAGGUUCGCGCUCCGCAAGGAUGCUGGCGUAAUGGUCAUCAGCGACCCGUCUUGAAACACGGACCAAGGAGUCGUCCAUUAGAGCGAGCGUUUGGGUGUCAAACCCGCACGCGUAAUGAAAGUGAAAUUAGGUGAGAGCUUCGGCGCAUCAUCGACCGAUCCUGAUGUUCUCGGAUGGAUUUGAGUAAGAGUUUUAACGGACGGACCCGAAAGACAGUGAACUAUGCUUGUAUAGGGUGAAGCCAGAGGAAACUCUGGUGGAGGCUCGCAGCGGUUCUGACGUGCAAAUCGAUCGUCAAAUAUGAGCAUGGGGGCGAAAGACUAAUCGAACUGUCUAGUAGCUGGUUACCGCCGAAGUUUCCCUCAGGAUAGCAGUGUUGACCUUCAGUUUUAUGAGGUAAAGCGAAUGAUUAGGGACUCGGGGGCGCUUUUUAGCCUUCAUCCAUUCUCAAACUUUAAAUAUGUAAGAAGCCCUUGUUACUUAGUUGAACGUGGGCAUUCGAAUGUAUCAACACUAGUGGGCCAUUUUUGGUAAGCAGAACUGGCGAUGCGGGAUGAACCGAACGCGGGGUUAAGGCGCCAGAGUGUACGCUCAUCAGACACCACAAAAGGCGUUAGUACAUCUUGACAGCAGGACGGUGGCCAUGGAAGUCGGAAUCCGCUAAGGACUGUGUAACAACUCACCUGCCGAAUGUACUAGCCCUGAAAAUGGAUGGCGCUCAAGCGUACCGCCCAUACCCCGCCCUCAGGGUAGAAACGAUGCCCUGAGGAGUAGGCGGCCGUGGAGGUCAGUGACGAAGCCUA